rnacentral:hammerhead_ribozyme from 1 species
AUUCAGCUGACGAGUUCCAAAUAGGACGAAACGCGCGUCCUGAAU